UCCAGUUCGCCUACAUGUCCA
rnacentral:piRNA from 1 species